rnacentral:rRNA from 23 species
CUUGGCGGCCGUAGCGCGGUGGUCCCACCUGACCCCAUGCCGAACUCAGAAGUGAAACGCCGUAGCGCCGAUGGUAGUGUGGGGUCUCCCCAUGCGAGAGUAGGGAACUGCCAGGC